rnacentral:misc_RNA from 1 species
AACUUUCGGCAAUGGAUCUCUUGGUUCUGGCAUCGAUGAAGAACGCAGCGAAAUGCGAUAAGUAGUGUGUAUUGCAGAAUUCAGUGAAUCAUCGAAUCUUUGAACGCACAUUGCGCCCCUUGGUAUCCCGAGGGGCAUGCCUGUUCGAGCGUCAUUUCACCCCUCAAGCCUGGCUUGGUGUUGGGCGACGUCCUCUUUGGGGAUGCGCCUCAAAACGUUCGGCGGCGUGGCACCGACUUUAAGCGUAGCAGAAUCUUAUCUUUCGCUUUGAAAAUCGGGGCCACGUUUGCCGGAAAACCUACUCGCAAAGUUGACCUCGGAUCAGGCAGGGAUACCCGCUGAACUUAAGCAUAUCAAUAAGCGGAGGCU